CAUUUUGAGGGUUUGAUCCUAGCUCAGGGUUAACGCUGGCGGUGUGCCUAACACAUGCAAGUCGAGCGACGAACUCGGGGAAUUUUGCGCAAGCAGAGUUUCCCGGGGGAAAGCGGCGAAUGGGUGAGUAACACCUGGGUAACCUACCUCAGGGAUCAGGAUAACCCGUCGAAAGGCGGGCUAAUACUGGAUAAGCACGGAAAAAUUCAUUUUUCCGUGGAAAGUUAUUAUGUCGAAAAGACUUAACGCCCUGAGAUGGGCCUGGGUCCUAUCAGCUAGUUGGCGGGGUAAAAGCCCACCAAGGCUAUGACGGGUAGCUGGUCUGAGAGGACGGCCAGCCACACGGGGAUUGAGAUACAGCCCCGACUCCUACGGGAGGCAGCAGUGAGGAAUUUUGGACAAUGCCCGCAAGGGUGAUCCAGCGACACCGCGUGGGUGAUGAAGGGCUUCGGCCUGUAAAACCCUGUCAAGUGGGAAGAAGGCUACCUUUCCAGGUAGUUUGACGGUACCACUGAAGGAAGCCCCGGCUAAUCCCGUGCCAGCAGCCGCGGUAAGACGGGAGGGGCAAGCGUUACCCGGAUUCACUGGGUGUAAAGGGUCUGUAGGCGGUCAAGUGUGUCGUAUCUGAAAUCCUCUGGCUCAACCAGAGAACCGGGUACGAAACUGCUUGACUUUGAGUCCGGACGAGGGGAGCGGAACUGCCGGUGUAGCGGUGAAAUGCGUAGAUAUCGGCAGGAACACCAGUGGCGAAGGCGGCUCUCUAUUCCGGUACUGACGCUGAAAGACGAAAGCGUGGGGAGCGAUCGGGAUUAGAUACCCCGGUAGUCCACGCCGUAAACGAUGGAUGCUGGGUGUCGGUCCGUUUAUCGGGUCGGUGCCGAAGCAAACGCGUUAAGCAUCCCACCUGGGGACUACGACCGCAAGGUUGAAACCCAAAGGAAUUGACGGGGGCCCGCACAACCGGUGG
rnacentral:rRNA from 1 species